AUUGAACGCUGGCGGCAUGCCUUACACAUGCAAGUCGAACGGCAGCACGGGAGCAAUCCUGGUGGCGAGUGGCGAACGGGUGAGUAAUAUAUCGGAACGUGCCCAGUCGUGGGGGAUAACGUAGCGAAAGCUACGCUAAUACCGCAUACGAUCUACGGAUGAAAGCGGGGGAUCGCAAGACCUCGCGCGAUUGGAGCGGCCGAUAUCAGAUUAGGUAGUUGGUGAGGUAAAGGCUCACCAAGCCGACGAUCUGUAGCUGGUCUGAGAGGACGACCAGCCACACUGGAACUGAGACACGGCCCAGACUCCUACGGGAGGCAGCAGUGGGGAAUAUUGGACAAUGGGCGAAAGCCUGAUCCAGCAAUGCCGCGUGAGUGAUGAAGGCCUUAGGGUUGUAAAGCUCUCUUACCAGGGAUGAUAAUGACAGUACCUGGAGAAUAAG
rnacentral:rRNA from 1 species